GAUGUGGCUCAGUGGUGGUGCGACUGCCUGCGACGCAGGAGGUUUCGGGUUCAAUUCCCGGUGGGUCA